UGAGGCCCGAAGAGUAGGAAUCUUUGAGGAUUUGAAAGAAACCAACUAUGAUUAGAAGUGGAACACAAUACAGGGAAGUAAAGCUAGCGUGGGUGUUGAGGGCUAGCAAGACUCUGUCAGAGUCUAUUUUUGCCCUACUGAGCAAUGAAAACCCAUUAAAAGGGUUUCAGAAAGGGGUGUUUUUGAAGCUUAAUUGGCUGCAGCACAAGGAACGGAACGAGAUGGAAGCUCAUCAGGAGGAAGAGCUGAGCCGUGCAGCGGAGGUUAUGGAAAACCCGUGCAGUUGCCUCUCUCCACUCAGGAUCUGAAAAGCAGUGGCAUUUGGGGCUUUCAAGACAGCAAAGCCAAAACAAAGCAGAGCUGCCUGAGUCCUUCCUAGACCAUGCUUCAAGUGCAAUAAAGAAGGACACUGGGCAAGAGAGUGCCCCAAUUCUGCUGUUCCUUUGAGGCCUUGCCCCUAUUGCAAUCUCAAGGGCCACUGGAAGAGUGACUGUCCUAGCCACCAGAGAGCAGUCUAAUGUGCAGGCAUUCACCAAUGAUGAAGUUGUUCUGGCUGAAACAUCUGGCACCAGCUUCUGCACGGGCAUCAACCAUCAUCCCAUCAACCUUUCUACAACCCAAUACAGCACCCCCUUUCAGCAGAAAAUAGUAAAAAAGAGACUUUGCCCUUUUCCUAACAAUACAAAGAUGGGAAUGAAAGGUACUUGCCUCAGUAGAAAUUAUGACGGUGGUCUAAUGAGGCAGAAGACCAAAGUGGGACGCCUACCACUUCCCACUUCUUCUCCAGCUCCUGUUUGCACAUGAUGAAAAAUCCAAUUGGCUGCUCGAGCAUCAACAAUGCUCACCCUAAGCGCCACCUCAGUGAGAAAUUAUAUGUAUAUGUCACACCCCACGUUUCCAGUAGAGAAAGCCAGGCGCUGGCGGUCAUGGAGUUCUUUCCAUGUCCUUAGAAUAAAAGCCAUUUUACUUUAUCUUCUCUCUUUUAUCGCCCCCAAAACCCUAUAAGGUGCCCAUAGAUAAGCAGAGAUUUGGUGGUGAUCUGUGGACACUAGGCAGUGAGGCAAGCCAAGUGUCCUCUUUCUACCUGCAACGAGGAGGUUGAGUGAAUGGGUUUGCAGAAAGAGGAGGAUCAAGCAAACAGGCAAAGAUAAAGAGAGAAGAGAACCUGUGUAGGCUGAGAAAGAAAGGAAGAGGAUGGAAGCUCUUCAAGUCCUCCGGCCUUCUGGUCCUUGUAAAGCGCAGGCCAACUAGCUUUAUAGCCACAGAUACCCUGAGUUCUGUUUCCUUGACCAAUGUGCACUUCCCUGAAACUAAAUUGCAAUUCUCUUUCCUUGUAACAAAAAAUGGUCUUAUGUAGAUGUUGGCAUCAUGAUUAAACAAUUUGACCUCUACAAAUUAAA